rnacentral:lncRNA from 1 species
ACUAGUCUCGGUACAUCCUAACUACAACUACACAAAAUGUACACUAUAAAUUAUGCAAUUUGACAUGCUUCAACUAUUUAUAAUAGCAAUCAUAUAAUCAUGUCAAAAUAUAUAUAUAUAUAUAUAUAAGGGUGUAAUUGAGAACAAAAUAUAUGACAAGCAUAUCGAAGAAAUAUAACAAACCCUAAUCACAUUAGGCUUGCACUACACCCUUAACAAUGCAUCAAUUUAAGCAUCAUACUACCAUGAUAAUAUAAAUUUUAAAAUUAUUAUAAAUUCAUAAUUUAAUAAUUAAAAUUUAAAGGAUUGAUGCUAAAAAAUCAAUGCAAAAUUUUGGCAGGAUAUGCACAAGAAUGAUUCUAUGCUACAAAUUUGUACUUGUUUGAUUGAAUCAGACAAGGAUGGCUCUGAUACCACUGAUGAGUUUUGACUAUACAGUAGAAAAUAAUUUUUAAAAAUUUUAAAAUCAAAUAAGUUAAUAGCUUUAUCAAAUAAAACUAUCAAGCCAAAAUUCAAAUCCUAGAAUCACCUUGCCAAUAUCGAUAAAACAAAAACAAGCAUGCAAAAGAGAUAGAAUUUUAUACUUUCACCAAAAUAAAAAAGUGGCACAUUGAUGUUCUCCAUAAGACCUCA